AUGGGGGAUCUGGAGUUUCCUCACGUCAGAGUCCUGAGCAAGUCUCAGCCCCUCUCUGAGAGAGGAGAGUGGAGGGACGGGAGUCCCGACAUGUGGGGAAAUAGCCAGCAGACCGCGACAAAGACCUCACCGACCGUCUUCCCCCUGAGUGCCUACCAGUCCAACUCCGGAGACCCAGUGUCCAUCGGCUGCCUGGUCACGGGCUACUUCCCUGAGCCGGUGGAAGUGACCUGGAACAACCAGAACAAGGACGGGUCCACAGCCAGGACCUUCCCUGCCGUGCUGGAGUCCAGUGGUUACUACGUUUUGAGCAGCCUGCUCGUCCUCCCGGCUGACCAGUGCCCUGAAAGCAAGGUCUACCAGUGCAACGUGAACCACUACGGGAGCAGCAGAACGGCCAACGUGGAUUGUAAAAGGAAGAAUCCAGAUGUCUGCCCGGAUCCCUGCCCAACUGUGAGUGUAUCCCUGCUGCCCCCGUCCCUGGAAAGCCUGUUCCUCGACAAAGGGGCCAACCUGACCUGCGAACUGACCGGGGUGGCCAACGUUCAAGGGGCAAACUUCUCCUGGAGCGCACCGCCCUCCGUGACCGCCAAGCCCGUCAGGGGCCCGGCGGUGAGAGACGGCCAAGGCAAGUACACCAUCACCAGCACCCUGGAGGUCUGCACGGACGAGUGGAUGCAGGGACACAGCUUCUCCUGCACCGUGACCCACCCGGAACUGCGCGAGCCCAUCACCAAAACCAUCGCCAAGACUUCUGGCCCCCUGAUCCGGCCCGCGGUCCACCUGCUUCCCCCUACCUCCGAGGAGCUGGCCCUGAAUGAGAUGGCCACCCUGACCUGCCUGGUGAGGGGCUUCAGCCCCAGGGAACUGCUGGUGAAAUGGAUGAAGGGGGGUCAGGAGGUGCCCAGGACGGACUAUGUGACCGGCACCCCCCAGCAGGAGAUCAGCGAGGGCUCCCCCACGUUCUUCCUGUAUAGCACCCUCCGCGUCCAGACUUCCUCCUGGAAAAGUGGGGAGAACUUCUCCUGCGUGGUGGGCCACGAGUCCCUGCCCCUCAACUUCACCCAGAAAACCUUCGACCAGUCCACCGGUAAACCCAGCACGGUCAAUCUGACCGUGGUCAUGUCCGACGCGGCCAGCACCUGUUACUAA